rnacentral:rRNA from 1 species
AUUGAACGCUGGCGGCAUGCCUUACACAUGCAAGUCGAACGGCAGCACGGGUGCUUGCACCUGGUGGCGAGUGGCGAACGGGUGAGUAAUACAUCGGAACAUGUCCUGUAGUGGGGGAUAGCCCGGCGAAAGCCGGAUUAAUACCGCAUACGAUCUACGGAUGAAAGCGGGGGACCUUCGGGCCUCGCGCUAUAGGGUUGGCCGAUAGCUGAUUAGCUAGUUGGUGGGGUAAAGGCCUACCAAGGCGACGAUCAGUAGCUGGUCUGAGAGGACGACCAGCCACACUGGGACUGAGACACGGACCAGACUCCUACGGGAGGCAGCAGUGGGGAAUUUUGGACAAUGGGCGAAAGCCUGAUCCAGCAAUGCCGCGUGUGUGAAGAAGGCCUUCGGGUUGUAAAGCACUUUUGUCCGGAAAGAAAUCCUUGGCUCUAAUACAGUCGGGGGAUGACGGUACCGGAAGAAUAAGCACCGGCUAACUACGUG